CCCCAGCAGUGUGUGAGAAAAACAUUUUCUGCCUUUUUCGUUUCUCAAUUGGCAGAAAAUAACAUGUAUAUAUUAUAGAAAUUCUAUUAUUGGUGAAUAAUUGUAUUAGUAUAAUUUCAAAGGUGAUUAUUUGGGAAAAAAAAUAAAAAAUACCACCCCCUUUUUUUUGUCAUUUGAUUGACAAAACGGCUUUGUCGCCAUGGCAAAAAUUGCUUAGGUAAUUAUCGUGUUAUAAUCACCUCAACGGCAACCAAUCAGCAUGGAGAAUUUUUAAUAAUCACCUAUGUAAUUAUACUAAUAUACAUUAUUACAUUUCAACUUAGUUGGGGCCGCCAUUCCGCAUGAAAAUCGUAACAUAAAACAAAAGUUCUAAAUCUGGCCUACAACUACAAGUGCUUUAAAUGGCUUAAUUAAACUCCGACUACAAAAGAAUACUAAUUAAGAUGAAGCGUUAUAUAAACAUACUAAUGAAGAUAAGUUUUAUCACAUAUAAAGCUACGGCAUGCGUAUGAUUUUUCUUUGUGUUUUCCUCAUGAAUUAUUAAUGAGGAGUUUAAUUGUUAACAUUCCUAUCAACAUAUAGCUGUAUUAUAUCAACAUGUAGUUGUAUUAGAUACAUAUUUAUAAUAUAGCAUUUGUAAGUAUAACUAGUCUAUAAAUGCUCGUGGAAAACAAUAAAUAAAUUUUGGGCAAAACUAACACUCAAAGGUGUUCGGUAAACUUCGUUGAUUACGAAAAUUAACCGAUGGGAGCAGCUCUAUAUAUUAUUAUAUCUCAGAUUAGUUGUGGUUCCCAUUUAUAGAAUAUCAUAAAUAGAAAUAAAACAAAUUCUAAAUCAUGCCUACUAAAAACUUAUUCAAAUUCCUAUCAACAUAUCACAGACUACUUGUUUGUAUUAGAU
rnacentral:lncRNA from 1 species